rnacentral:sRNA from 1 species
GGAUUGUGGUCUACAAGAGAAGGGCCUGAUCUCCUGGAAGAUUUAAAGUGCUCCCACUGUCCCUUCGGGUUCCUGGGGUUCGACCUUUCUUGAUGAGGAAUCAAGUUACAAAGGACCAGGUAGUAAGUCGUUCAAUCAUUCUGAGGCACUAGUCUUCACUAGCUGGAGUAGAAACACAUUGCCAAUUUAAAUAUGGAUGCCGUAGUCUGAGAUGGUCUGAAGGCAUCUUAUUAAAGUGUUAUUUGCCAAGGGUUUUAUUACUGUGAAGAGACACUGUGACCAGUGCAAGUGUUAUGAAGGACAACAUUUAUUUUGGACUGGCUUCCAGGCUCAGAUAAUCAAUCAAGGCAGAACAUGGCAGCAUCCAGGCUGGCAUGGUGCAGGAAGAGCUUAGAGUUGUACAUCUUCAACCCAAGGAGGCCAGGAAUAGACUGAGAAUCAUCAGGUAAAUAGGAGGAGUGACAAACUCCCACUGUGACAAACUUCUUUCAACAAGGCCACAUGUCCUAACAGUGCCACUCCCAGGGCCAAGCGUAUGCAAUCCAUCACAAUUUCCAAGGGUCACUUUGAAAAUAAAUAAAAAAAUAAUUCCCCAUGAUCCCUUAUCAUUACUUUUACUUUUUCUUCCAUUUACUCUUCUCUGGUCAAUGUUUUAUUAUUAUAUAGAGAGAAGGGUAGACAGAGGACAAGGAGGAAUAUUGAAUAUAUCUAUGACAGUUUGGUGGUGAAGCUUCUAAACAACAUGCCUCUUUUAAAUGAACAGAGAUAAGCACAGGGUUCAGUCUUUAGUACACAUGCAGCAAGCAGGAAGACUUACAUGACUGUUUGCACAAUUCACAAUUAUCAGAAACUUGCCCUCACUUUAUUGUAUGUACAAUGAAAAUUGACAAGAAGAGAUUUACCUACUUUCAUUUCAGUGUCUGAAUGGUGUUUGAGCUUGAGAGAUUGGAGGAAAUAAAGAGAGAAUCAGAAUUGGUCUGCACACGCUGGAUUCGCUUUUCAAUAUUUAUUCUUAAAUAGAAUAUUUAUAAAAAUCUUUC